rnacentral:rRNA from 1 species
GACGAACGCUGGCGGCGUGCCUAAUACAUGCAAGUCGAACGCAGUGGGGACGGGUGAGUCACACGUGGGUAACCUCCCAUCAGAGGGGAUAACACUUGGAAACAGGUGCUAAACCGAUACUGAUGGAUGGACCCGCGGUGCAUUAGCUAGUUGGUGAGGUAACGGCUCACCAAGGCAACGAUGCAUAACCGACCUGAGAGGUGGCUCGGCCACACUGGGACUGAGACACGUGCCAGACUCCUACGGGAGGCAGCAGUAGGGAAUAUUCGGCAAUGGACGCAAGUCUGAGCGAGCCACGCCGCGUGCGUGAAGAAGGUUUUCGGAUCGUAAAACUCUGUUGUUAGAGAAGCGGUAUCUGACCAGAAAGCCACGGCUAACUACGUGCCAGCAGCCGCGGUAAUUC